UAUUGGACAAUGGGCGAAAGCCUGAUCCAGCAAUGCCGCGUGAGUGAUGAAGGCCUUAGGGUUGUAAAGCUCUUUUACCCGAGAUGAUAAUGACAGUAUCGGGAGAAUAAGCUCCGGCUAACUCCGUGCCAGCAGCCGCGGUAAUACGGAGGGAGCUAGCGUUGUUCGGAAUUACUGGGCGUAAAGCGCACGUAGGCGGCUUUGUAAGUUAGAGGUGAAAGCCUGGAGCUCAACUCCAGAAUUGCCUUUAAGACUGCAUCGCUUGAAUCCAGGAGAGGUGAGUGGAAUUCCGAGUGUAGAGGUGAAAUUCGUAGAUAUUCGGAAGAACACCAGUGGCGAAGGCGGCUCACUGGACUGGUAUGACGCUGAGUGCGAAA
rnacentral:rRNA from 1 species